GGUAAAGACUUGGCUUUCUGAUUCAGCGGCGGACGGGUGAGUAAUGCCUAGGAAUCUGCCUGAUAGUGGGGGACAACGUUUCGAAAGGAACGCUAAUACCGCAUACGUCCUACGGGAGAAAGCAGGGGACCUUCGGGCCUUGCGCUAUCAGAUGAGCCUAGGUCGGAUUAGCUAGUUGGUGAGGUAACGGCUCACCAAGGCGACGAUCCGUAACUGGUCUGAGAGGAUGAUCAGUCACACUGGAACUGAGACACGGUCCAGACUCCUACGGGAGGCAGCAGUGGGGAAUAUUGGACAAUGGGCGAAAGCCUGAUCCAGCCAUGCCGCGUGUGUGAAGAAGGUCUUCGGAUUGUAAAGCACUUUAAGUUGGGAGGAAGGGCAUUAACCUAAUACGUUAGUGUUUUGACGUUACCGACAGAAUAAGCACCGGCUAACUUCGUGCCAGCAGCCGCGGUAAUACGAAGGGUGCAAGCGUUAAUCGGAAUUACUGGGCGUAAAGCGCGCGUAGGUGGUUUGUUAAGUUGAAUGUGAAAGCCCCGGGCUCAACCUGGGAACUGCAUCCAAAACUGGCAAGCUAGAGUAUGGCAGAGGGUGGUGGAAUUUCCUGUGUAGCGGUGAAAUGCGUAGAUAUAGGGAAGGAACACCAGUGGUGAAGGCGACCACCUGGGCUAAUACUGACACUGAGGUGCGAAAAGCGUGGGGAGCAAACACGAUUAUAUACCCUGGUAGUCCACGCCGUUAACGAUGUCAACUAGC
rnacentral:rRNA from 2 species